GCAUAUCAAUAAGCGGAGGAAAAGAAACCAACAGGGAUUGCCUCAGUAACGGCGAAGUGAAGCGGCAACAGCUCAAAUUUGAAAUCUGGCCUCGGCCCGAGUUGUAAUUUGUAGAGGAAGCUUUUGGUGCGGCACCGACCGAGUCCCCUGGAACGGGGCGCCAUAGAGGGUGAGAGCCCCGUAUGGUUGGACGCCUAUCCUCUGUAAAGCUCCUUCGACGAGUCGAGUAGUUUGGGAAUGCUGCUCAAAAUGGGAGGUAAAUUUCUUCUAAAGCUAAAUAUUGGCCAGAGACCGAUAGCGCACAAGUAGAGUGAUCGAAAGAUGAAAAGCACUUUGAAAAGAGGGUUAAAUAGCACGUGAAAUUGUUGAAAGGGAAGCGCUUGUGACCAGACUUGCGCCUCGUCGAUCAUCCGGGGUUCUCCCCGGUGCGCUCGGCGGGGCUCAGGCCAGCAUCGGUUCUCGCGGGGGGACAAAGGCUCCGGGAACGUAGCUCCUCCGGGAGUGUUAUAGCCCGGGGCGUAAUGCCCUCGCGGGGACCGAGGACCGCGCUUCGGCAAGGAUGCUGGCGUAAUGGUCAUCAGCGACCCGUCUUGAAACACGGACCAAGGAGUCAAGGUUUUGCGCGAGUGUUUGGGUGUAAAACCCGCACGCGUAAUGAAAGUGAACGUAGGUGAGAGCUUCGGCGCAUCAUCGACCGAUCCUGAUGUAUUCGGAUGGAUUUGAGUAGGAGCGUUAAGCCUUGGACCCGAAAGAUGGUGAACUAUGCUUGGAUAGGGUGAAGCCAGAGGAAACUCUGGUGGAGGCUCGCAGCGGUUCUGACGUGCAAAUCGAUCGUCAAAUCUGAGCAUGGGGGGCGAAAGACUAAUCGAACCAUCUAGUAGCUGGUUACCGC
rnacentral:rRNA from 1 species